rnacentral:rRNA from 1 species
ACUCCUACGGGAGGCAGCAGUAGGGAAUCUUCCACAAUGGGCGCAAGCCUGAUGGAGCAACACCGCGUGAGUGAAGAAGGGUUUCGGCUCCGUAAAGCUCUGUUGUUAAAGAAGAACACGUAUGAGAGUAACUGUUCAUACGUUGACGGUAUUUAACCAGAAAGUCACGGCUAACUACGUGCCAGCAGCCGCGGUAAUACGUAGGUGGCAAGCGUUAUCCGGAUUUAUUGGGCGUAAAGAGAGUGCAGGCGGUUUUCUAAGUCUGAUGUGAAAGCCUUCGGCUUAACCGGAGAAGUGCAUCGGAAACUGGAUAACUUGAGUGCAGAAGAGGGUAGUGGAACUCCAUGUGUAGCGGUGGAAUGCGUAGAUAUAUGGAAGAACACCAGUGGCGAAGGCGGCUACCUGGACUGAUACUGACACUGAGGUGCGAAAGCGUGGGGAGC